GAUAUCGGUAAGGCUGUUGAUCGGAUUAGACAAUAUCAAGGCAUGGAUAACCCCGAAAGUGAAAUAAUUUAUUAUCGGAGACCCGGUGCUUCAGAUAACUUUGCUCUACCAUAUGUAGCUGAUGGCGAGAGAAGCUUUGACAGCCGUGAAAGCGCCAUCGAACGGAGCCCGUUAAACUACAGGUACUAAA